UAUUGUUGGGAGGGGGGGGUAGCAGUAGAAAGCAGGCUGUGCCAAUUAGAUGGAACAGAUUCCAAACUUUUUAAAGGGGGAAGGCAGGCGGGGGGUGGAGUGACAAAAGGUGGGUGAGAGAAAAGUGAGAUGAAAUAGACAGGUCAGAAGUUUUUGGGAGAAGCAGGUCAUUCCAGUUCAGAAGUGUUUGGGAGGAGCAGGUCAGAAGUGUUUGGGAGGAGCAGGUCAGAAGUGUUUGAGAGGAGCAGGUCAGAAGUGUUUGGGAGGAGCAGGUCAGAAGUGUUUGGGAGGAGUAGGUCAGAAGUGUUUGGGAGGAGCAGGUCAGAAGCGUUUGUGAGGAGCAGGCCAGAAGUGUUUGGGAGGAGCAGGUCAGUAAUGUUUGGGAGGAACAGGUCAGAAGUGUUUGGGAGCAGGCCAUUCCAGGUCAGAAGUAGGUGGGAGGAGCAGGUCAGAAGUGUUAGGGAGGCCAUUCCAGGUCAGAAGUGUUUGGGAGGAGGCCAUUCCAGGUCAGAAGCGUUUGGGAGGAGCAGGCCAGAAGUGUUUGGGAGGAGCAGGUCAAUAAUGUUUGGGAGGAGCAGGUCAGAAGUGUUUGGGAGGAGCAGGUCAGAAGUGUUUGGGAGCAGGCCAUUCCAGGUCAGAAGUAGGUGGGAGGAGCAGGUCAGAAGUGUUAGGGAGGAGGCCAUUCCAGGUCAGAAGUGUUUGGGAGGAGGCCAUUCCAGGUCAAAAGUGUUUGGGAGGAGCAGGUCAGAAGUGUUUGGGAUCAGGCCAUUCCAGGUCAGAAGUGUUUGGGAGGCCAUUUUAAAGCAGGCCAUUCAGUAAAACGUAUCACCUACUAGAAUAUAUUGGCCAAAUAGGGUAUUGCUAAAAUGCAAAAAGUUUUAUUGAAAGUGAGCCUAAAUAAUUGUUGUACAUCUGAUUCUUCAAUCUAGAUCAUAACAAUAAUAUACUAUAGUAUAUCUGAUAUAAAAUAUUUGUUGACAAGGCACCAAAACUAUAAUUGGAACCAUUCUAGAUGUAAAUAUAAUUUUUGAUGGGAUCCCAAGUGUCACAUGUCAAAAGAUCCCAUUAUAAAUAGUCAACUGAUAAGUUAGAAUGAAGGCAUGAAAUAAGUGGUGGAGCAAAUAUAGAGGCAGGGCAUAGAGAGGUCACUAUAACUAGAGCCAAUCAAAGUGACACACAAUAUACAAGUUUAACUCUUCAAGACCAUAAUGACGCUGACAGCGACCAGUCUCCUGGCCUUGCUAACGUAAUGACGCUUCCAGCGUCCGAUCACUAUUUCCCUAUUUACUUCUUUUUCUUUUCUAAUCCACAUUUUUAAUCCCUUAAAUGGUUUAAGGAAACGAUAGAGCGGUCAUUUUGAAAGUUUUUUCCUUCUGAUACUUUGAUGAUCUAAGCUGUUUUUAUUGUUCUAAAUAUUUUUUUUGUAAGUGACUAGUGAAUUUUUCAUUUUUUUGCAUCAGACAUCAUGGCUGACAGGCCUUCUUGCCAUUUUACUGCUGAUCAGGCUCUAAUUAUCUUUUUAGAUACGAAUGAUAGUGACAUGAGUGACUUAGACUUAAGAGUUAGAUAGAGAUUCUAGAGCUAGAAAGUUAUAAUGAAAGCAAUUUUCAGACUCAAGCGAGUCUGAUAGUGAAUUAUUCAUCCCUAGACCUACUAAAAGUAGUAAACAAAAGGGGGCGUCGCCCCAGCCAGGCCCUAGUAGAUCUAGAAAGAAACCUUACUAAAAGUGUAAAUAUUGAUCAAGUUUGACAAAGUUAUGUUUUUAAAUAGAUAAUUGGAUAGAGUUUAAUAUUUCAUACAAUAAUAAUGAUUGAGGACUGUUGGAAUAUUCUUUUUUACUUGGGAAAGUCAGUUUUUAAAGAUCAAAUUAAAAAAAUAAAUUUUUAUCUCUGAAAUUACUUAAUUUUUUUUCCAGUGACUAUCUAUAACAUUGAAAGAUAAAUUAUCUUGCAGUACAUUCAAUUUCCAACAAAAUUUUAUAUAAAAUGUCUAUGUUUU
rnacentral:sRNA from 1 species